UUUUCAAAUUGUUGUGAAGCCGACGGGAGAGUGUGUGAACAGAUGACUGAUGGGAGGAGGGGCGGGCUUUCUCCACACCAAUGCUUCUGUCUACAACUCAGAGCCUAAAACAAAGUCUUUAACCAGAAGAAGGGUGGCCAAACCGGCAACUUCCCCCUCCUUCAGGGCUCUGAACACACCUCAGAGAGAAGCAGGAGAAUGAUCUCCAGACGAGAGUCCCAUGAGCAAACCAAGCAUCCUGUGCACCACGUGACCCGGAGGCCCCGCCAGAAAACCUUAUCUGCUGUGGAAUGUGGCUGAGUGGCUGAAAGGGGGUUUUGGGGGCAAAAUAAAGCAGAUUUCUGUUUGAACGAAGCUGGAUGCUGCAUGAAACCACCAGAACCUGUAGAAGAAAACCUGCUGGUGUUCCUGCAGAACAGAGGAGCUGCAGGAGGAACAAGCUCAUGUCUCUUUAAGAUCAAUAAAAAGAGUAUCAGUGGUAAUUGGAAUUUUAAAAAUGGAAAAAAAUGAAUUUUAUUCUUAAACAAUUAAAUAAAUGCUACAUAAAUGAGUAAAACGAUACAUA